GUUGCCUUUGCCAAAAAUGUCGUUGUUUGUAUUUAUUUAUUAUUCAAAGUGUUAUCGGUGACAGAGCAGUGGUGGCUGAGUGCCGGCGUGACAGAGGAUGGGGGCCGGGCGUAUCCGGAUCCGGCUGAGAACGGGGAGGAGCGUGACACACACACAGGGAGCGGAAGAGCCCCCAAACCAAAAACAACAGGCAAGGCAAACAACGGAGAGCGAGCCGUGUCCCAUUUUAAUGCACAGAUAAUGAGUUCCUUUGUUGGCAAUAUGUCAAAUCGCUAGGCCAAUAUUUCAGUCCCGAAAGGAUUGGGAUUGGGAUUGGGAUCGGGAUACAUUUUGCCAUUUGCCGUUUAGCAUUUACCAUUUACCAUUCGCCAUUCACCAUUCACCAUUUGCCUUUUGCCAUUUCGGCGUUUUGUGUGGGCGCGGUGAGUCGUGUUAAUUGCGAGCCGGCUCCGGGGGCAACUACUGGAUGAGAUUAGUUGGGCAAGAUUAUAUAAAAUCAGUGGCAUCAAUUCUGAUCAGUUACGCAAGACAAGCCGCAGAAUGGCAGGCUGAUAAAUGCGGACGUGGCGAGGCCAGAGAGGAGAAAUCAAUUAAAAACGCUUCACUCCGACUUAUCCUUAUCCUUGUUGCGGUUGCCGCUUUUCGGUUGCCAUAAGGACGAGGCGGAGUCUGCUCGCCGAGAGAUAGGCAUAUCGAAUAAAUCAAUGCAUUUGCCGCAAUAAUGCUGUCAUGUGUGGUUUUGGGAUUCUCAAAACUAGACCACCGCCUGUCAACCAUUGAGUUUUACUAAUGAAGUCAUUAAAUUGCAAAAACAAUUAUGCAAUUAUUGUUGUCACGUAUUUUGUUUGAAAUUAAAGGGAAGUCGAACAAAUAUAAUUGUGGUAUUUAAGAAGA